rnacentral:lncRNA from 1 species
AUAUUCGUAUAAACCGAAUGUCAAAAACCUUGAAUUCUCUAGGACAACCGUCCACCAUAUUCACUGAAGAGUUCCCAUGAGCGGGCAAAGGGUUUGCUUUCACAUUUGGCGCACGGUCCUCAAAGGACACCAUACCAUUCUUCUUAAGCUUUUGAACCUCAUACUUCAAUGGAUAGCAGUUUUCAAUAUCAUGUCCGGGUGCUCCUUGAUGAAAGGCAUAACGGAGCUCAG